CUUAGUAACGGCGAGUGGAGCGGCAAAAGCUCAAAUUUGAAAUCUAGCGCCUUCGGUGCUCCAUUUGUAAUUUGAAGAUGGUAAUCCUGGCGCUGGCCCUUGUCUAUGUUCCUUGGAACAGGACGUCAUAGAGGGUGAGAAUCCCGUCUGAUGGGGUGUCCAGUGCUUUGUAGGAUGCUAUCGAAGAGUCGAGUUGUUUGGGAAUGCAGCUCUAAGUGGGUGGUAAAUUCCAUCUAAAGCUAAAUAUUGGCGAGAGACCGAUAGCGAACAAGUACAGUGAUGGAAAGAUGAAAAGAACUUUGAAAAGAGAGUGAAAAAGUACGUGAAAUUGUUGAAAGGGAAGGGUAUUAGAUCAGACUUGGUGUUUCACGAUUAUCUUCCCCUUGUGGGUUGUGCACUCGUGUUUCACUGGGCCAGCAUCGAUUCGGACGGUAAGAUAAUGACUUUGGAACGUGGCUCCAUUCGUGGAGUGUUAUAGCCUUUGUUGAUAUUGCCUGUCUGGAUCGAGGACUGCGGCUUUUGCCUAGGAUGCUGGCGUAAUGAUCUAAUAUCGCCCGUCU
rnacentral:rRNA from 1 species